ensembl:snoRNA Gm26088 predicted gene, 26088
GAUGACCCCUUCCCUUAGCUUCUGUGGCUUCUGUGUCACAUGUGUGUCAGUAGGUGCCAGAGAAGAGGGAGGGUAUGUCUAUACUCAGUGUUUUGGCCUAUCAACAUCUGAAUAAUUAGUAACCUAAAAUU